UGAAUCAUACACACUGGCUCUUUAAACCGAAUCAUCUUAUUUGGGCUGCACUACUGCAGCUCCUGUGUCAUUUUUACACAGCUGGAUGCUCCAUUAGGUGACAUUUUUAAAGAAUUCAUUAGGAUCAUCAUUCACAAAGUAAACGAACUAAACAGAAGAAUUAGCAUCAUGCUCGCUGUCAUCCUGAGUCAUUAGGAUAUAUUAAUAGACAGUCUCUUAUCUGGGGUCAAAGCUUUGUGUCAGACUCUGUUACAGUUACGCUGACUAAUGCUGCUUCUUCUCCCUUCAUUGCCCUCCUCUCUCCACAAGACAUCUCCUUCCUUGUUCCCUAGCUCCAGCUUAUAAACUUUGAUUUUCUACCUUGACUUGUUUGUUCGUCUUCUCUCUACUUCUGUACAUCUCACUCUUUCAAACACUGUGCCACAUUACUCAAACACUUCUCCACUCUCCUGGUCCAAACAUGCGUCUCUGUGGCAUUCUCUAU